GUUUAACUAAUAAAAAGUUUAAAAUUUAAAUUCCUCAAUUAAUACUUGAUAUUUUUUUUCUACCAACUAGGGUUUAAUUAAUUAAUUUGAUGUAAUCAGUAAUAUUAAGAUACAAGAUGUAUACUAUAUCCGUUUAGUUUUUAAUUAAUUUUCCUUGAAUUGGAAAUGUCUACUUCAGAUAUUGUAUCUUUAGAUGACAACAGUAUUGUGAUAAAUGAUUUACCGAAUGAUACAGAAGCAGCCAUAAGGUAUAUUAAAACUUUAUUACCGGUAACUCAAAAGGAUACAUUUAAAUAUCCUCCGGUUGUAUUUAUUCACCAACUAUAUGAUAUAAUACACAAUAAGACAUUGAUUAAUAAAGAGCUGGAGAUAUUAAGAAAGCAGUGCAAGAUACAAAAACUCACAAUUGGAACUUCUGAUUCUUCUUCAGCCUUAAUUUUAUAUGAAGAUUAUGUUAAGUAUACCUUAAAUAUUUAUCCAGAAAAUCGUAGUGUGAACAAAUUUUUAAACAUCAUUUUACCUUCAAUCAAAUCAUUUGGAGUGGAAAAAUGUACAUUGCUGCAAAAAUUUAAAUUGCAGCAAUAUGAAUUGACAGAAUUGAUCAACUGUGGACUUUUAUUGAUUAGAAAUCAAGAAAGUUAUUGGAUAUCUUUUCCAUCAUCUGGUAACUUUAUUAGGCGUUACAUUGAAGGUCGAAAAUAUAUUAUUCAAAUAAUUAGACGUAGAAAAUUUCAAGAGAUAUUAGAAAAUGACCUGGAAGUUCGUUGUGCUAAGGUAUCAAAGAUAAAAGAACUCGGUUUUAAAUACUUUUUACAUGACAUUAAAGGAUCAGAAGAUAUAAUUAAAAUGAAUACAACAUCAGGAUGUCUCUUAAGAAUUGCUUGAACAACAAUUUGUCUUACUUUCAGAAUGGAAUCAUUUUACUUUCAAUUAUUUUUAGUUACUAUGACUUACCCAUUUAAAACAGAGGAAUGAGAAAUACAUUUUGAAAAUGAGAGCUCAUGUAAUGACGUUGGCUAACAGCAUUAUUGGUGUUAGCAUACUAGCUAUG